rnacentral:rRNA from 1 species
GUGGGGAAUAUUGGGCAAUGGGCGAAAGCCUGACCCAGUAACGCCGCGUGAAGGAAGAAGGUCUUCGGAUCGUAAACUUCUAUCCUUGGUGAAGAUAAUGACGGUAGCCGAGAAGGAAGCCCCGGCUAACUACGUGCCAGCAGCCGCGGUAAUACGUAGGGGGCAAGCGUUGUCCGGAAUGAUUGGGCGUAAAGGGCGCGUAGGCGGCCUGGUAAGUCUGGAGUGGAAGUCCUGCUUUUAAGGUGGGAAUUGCUUUGGAUACUGUCGGGCUUGAGUGCAGGAGAGGUAAGUGGAAUUCCCGGUGUAGCGGUGAAAUGCGUAGAGAUCGGGAGGAACACCAGUGGCGAAGGCGACUUACUGGACUGUAACUGACGCUGAGGCGCGAAAGUGUGGGGAGCAAACAGGAUUAGAAACCCCUGUAGUCC